rnacentral:rRNA from 1 species
UACGUAGGGUGCAAGCGUUAUCCGGAAUUAUUGGGCGUAAAGAGCUCGUAGGCGGUUUGUCGCGUCUGCUGUGAAAACUGGAGGCUCAACCUCCAGCCUGCAGUGGGUACGGGCAGACUAGAGUGAUGUAGGGGAGACUGGAAUUCCUGGUGUAGCGGUGAAAUGCGCAGAUAUCAGGAGGAACACCGAUGGCGAAGGCAGGUCUCUGGGCAUUAACUGACGCUGAGGAGCGAAAGCAUGGGGAGCGAACAGG